UACAGAGGGUGCAAGCGUUAAUCGGAUUUACUGGGCGUAAAGCGUGCGUAGGCGGUUUGCUAAGUCGGUUGUGAAAUCCCUGGGCUUAACCUGGGAACUGCAGUCGAUACUGGCGGACUAGAGUACGGUAGAGGGUGGCGGAACUCCAGGUGUAGCGGUGAAAUGCGUAGAUAUCCGGAAGAACACCGAUGGCGAAGGCAGCCACCUGGGCCUGUACUGACGCUGAGGUACGAAAGCGUGGGGAGCAAACAGG
rnacentral:rRNA from 1 species